CAAUAGCGUAUAUUUAAGUUGUUGCAGUCAAAAAGCUCGUAGUUGGAUUUCGGGUGGGACGCAGCGGUCUCGCAUUGCGUUUGUACUGCUGCAGCCCUCCUUCUUGCCGGGGGCGGCCUCUCGGACUUCACUGUCUGGGGGUCAGAAUCGGCGAUGUUACUUUGAGUAAAUUAGAGUGUUCAAAGCAAGCUUACGCUCUGAAUAUAAUAGCAUGGGAUAACACGACAGGACUCUGGCCUAUCGUGUUGGUCUAUAGGACCAGAGUAAUGAUUAAGAGGGACAGUCGGGGGCAUUCGUAUUCCGUUGUCAGAGGUGAAAUUCUUGGAUUUACGGAAGACGAACAUCUGCGAAAGCAUUUGCCAAGGAUGUUUUCAUUGA
rnacentral:rRNA from 1 species